UGUCUGACUUAUGUGCGUGACUCUAUAGGUUCAAACACUAAGCUGGUAGCACAGGAAUCAAUUCUUACACUAAUCAAAAUAUCAUUUAGCAAUAGUUUUCGACAUCUAGAUAGGUCGAAUUAUCAUAAAAAAAUAUUUUAGAACCCAUACAUAUGGUUACUGCAUAAUUCAUCCUUUUGACCCUGAAUACUCUAGGAUGAUUUCAGGUUAACUAUCAACCGAGAUUGCUUCAUCCACAUUAUAUUUCAACCUUUCAAAUCCAUCUCAUAAAUUAUUCUGGCUA
rnacentral:lncRNA from 1 species